rnacentral:rRNA from 2 species
GGAAAAGAAAGCAACAGGGAUUGCCUCAGUAACGGCGAGUGAAGCGGCAAGAGCUCAAAUUUGAAAGCUGGCUCCUUCGGGGUCCGCAUUGUAAUUUGCAGAGGAUGCUUCGGGAGUGGCCCCCAUCUAAGUGCCCUGGAACGGGCCGUCAUAGAGGGUGAGAAUCCCGUCUGGGAUGGGGUGUCCACGCCCGUGUGAAGCUCCUUCGACGAGUCGAGUUGUUUGGGAAUGCAGCUCUAAAUGGGUGGUAAAUUUCAUCUAAAGCUAAAUACUGGCCGGAGACCGAUAGCGCACAAGUAGAGUGAUCGAAAGAUGAAAAGCACUUUGAAAAGAGAGUUAAACAGCACGUGAAAUUGUUGAAAGGGAAGCGCUUGCGACCAGACUCGCCCACGGGGUUCAGCCGGCAUUCGUGCCGGUGUACUUCCCCGCGGGCGGGCCAGCGUCGGUUUGGGCGGCCGGUCAAAGGCCCUCGGAAUGUAACGCCCCCCGGGGCGUCUUAUAGCCGAGGGUGCCAUGCGGCCAGCCCGGACCGAGGAACGCGCUUCGGCUCGGACGCUGGCAUAAUGGUCGUAAGCGACCCGUCUUGAAACACGGACCAAGGAGUCUAACAUCUACGCGAGUGUUCGGGUGUCAAACCCGUGCGCGCAGUGAAAGCGAACGGAGGUGGGAACCCCUCGGGGUGCACCAUCGACCGAUCCUGAUGUCUUCGGAUGGAUUUGAGUAAGAGCGUAGCUGUUGGGACCCGAAAGAUGGUGAACUAUGCCUGAAUAGGGCGAAGCCAGAGGAAACUCUGGUGGAGGCUCGCAGCGGUUCUGACGUGCAAAUCGAUCGUCAAAUUUGGGUAUAGGGGCGAAAGACUAAUCGAACCAUCUAGUAGCUGGUUCCUGC